GACGAGGGACCUAGCGUUGUUCGGAAUCAUUGGGCGUAAAGCGGGUGUAGGCGGACUUAUAAGUCAGGUGUGAAAUCCCAGGGCUCAACCCUGGAAGUGCACUUGAUACUGUAAGUCUUGAGUGUGGUAGAGGCUAUUAGAAUUCCUGGUGUAGUGGUGAAAUACGUAGAUAUCAGGAGGAAUACCGGAGGCGAAGGCGGAUAGCUGGGCCAACACUGACGUGAGACCCGAAAGCGUGGGGAUCAAACAGG
rnacentral:rRNA from 1 species